GUCUCCAUCGUCUACGUAUGGUUAGGACAUCUCCCUUUCACGGAGAGGAAUUCGGUUCGACACCGAAUGGGGACGCCA
rnacentral:tRNA from 1 species